AGCAUUAUACAGCGAAACUGCGAAUGGCUCAUUAUAUAAGUUAUCGUUUAUUUGAUAGUACCUUACUACUUGGAUAACCGUGGUAAUUCUAGAGCUAAUACAUGCUAAAAAUCCCGACUUCGGAAGGGAUGUAUUUAUUAGAUUAAAAACCAAUGCCCUCUGGGCUCUAUGGUGAUUCAUGAUAACUUUUCGAAUCGCAUGGCCUUGUGCCGGCGAUGGUUCAUUCAAAUUUCUUCCCUAUCAACUUUCGAUGUUUGGGUAUUGGCCAAACAUGGUCGCAACGGGUAACGGAGGGUUAGGGCUCGACCCCGGAGAAGGAGCCUGAGAAACGGCUACUACAUCCAAGGAAGGCAGCAGGCGCGCAAAUUACCCAAUCCCGACUCGGGGAGGUAGUGACAAUAAAUACUGAUACAGGGCUCUUUUGGGUCUUGUAAUUGGAAUGAGUACAAUUUAAAUCCCUUAACGAGGAACAAUUGGAGGGCAAGUCUGGUGCCAGCAGCCGCGGUAAUUCCAGCUCCAAUAGCGUAUAUUAAAGUUGUUGUGGUUAAAAAGCUCGUAGUUGAACCUUGGGCCUGGCUGGCCGGUCCGCCUCACCGCGUGUACUGGUCCGGCCGGGCCUUUCCCUCUGUGGAACCUCAUGCCCUUCACUGGGUGUGGCGGGGAAACAGGACUUUUACUUUGAAAAAAUUAGAGUGCUCCAGGCAGGCCUAUGCUCGAAUACAUUAGCAUGGAAUAAUAAAAUAGGACGCGCGGUUCUAUUUUGUUGGUUUCUAGGACCGCCGUAAUGAUUAAUAGGGACAGUCGGGGGCAUCAGUAUUCAAUUGUCAGAGGUGAAAUUCUUGGAUUUAUUGAAGACUAACUACUGCGAAAGCAUUUGCCAAGGAUGUUUUCAUUAAUCAGGAACGAAAGUUAGGGGAUCGAAGACGAUCAGAUACCGUCGUAGUCUUAACCAUAAACUAUGCCGACUAGGGAUCGGACGGUGUUAUUUUUUGACCCGUUCGGCACCUUACGAGAAAUCAAAGUG
rnacentral:rRNA from 1 species